CGGGGUGUGGCGCAGCCCGGUUAGCGCGCUUCCUUGGGGUGGAAGAGGUCGCUGGUUCGAAUCCAGUCAUCCCGACCA
rnacentral:tRNA from 1 species